GUGUGACUGCGUACCUUUUGUAUAAUGGGUCAGCGACUUAUAUUCUGUAGCAAGGUUAACCGAAUAGGGGAGCCGAAGGGAAACCGAGUCUUAACUGGGCGUUAAGUUGCAGGGUAUAGACCCGAAACCCGGUGAUCUAGCCAUGGGCAGGUUGAAGGUUGGGUAACACUAACUGGAGGACCGAACCGACUAAUGUUGAAAAAUUAGCGGAUGACUUGUGGCUGGGGGUGAAAGGCCAAUCAAACCGGGAGAUAGCUGGUUCUCCCCGAAAGCUAUUUAGGUAGCGCCUCGUGAAUUCAUCUCCGGGGGUAGAGCACUGUUUCGGCAAGGGGGUCAUCCCGACUUACCAACCCGAUGCAAACUGCGAAUACCGGAGAAUGUUAUCACGGGAGACACACGGCGGGUGCUAACGUCCGUCGUGAAGAGGGAAACAACCCAGACCGCCAGCUAAGGUCCCAAAGUCAUGGUUAAGUGGGAAACGAUGUGGGAAGGCCCAGACAGCCAGGAUGUUGGCUUAGAAGCAGCCAUCAUUUAAAGAAAGCGUAAUAGCUCACUGGUCGAGUCGGCCUGCGCGGAAGAUGUAACGGGGCUAAACCAUGCACCGAAGCUGCGGCAGCGACACUAUGUGUUGUUGGGUAGGGGAGCGUUCUGUAAGCCUGUGAAGGUGUACUGUGAGGUAUGCUGGAGGUAUCAGAAGUGCGAAUGCUGACAUAAGUAACGAUAAAGCGGGUGAAAAGCCCGCUCGCCGGAAGACCAAGGGUUCCUGUCCAACGUUAAUCGGGGCAGGGUGAGUCGACCCCUAAGGCGAGGCCGAAAGGCGUAGUCGAUGGGAAACAGGUUAAUAUUCCUGUACUUGGUGUUACUGCGAAGGGGGGACGGAGAAGGCUAUGUUGGCCGGGCGACGGUUGUCCCGGUUUAAGCGUGUAGGCUGGUUUUCCAGGCAAAUCCGGAAAA
rnacentral:rRNA from 1 species